rnacentral:rRNA from 1 species
GAUGAACGCUGGCGGCGUGCCUAAUACAUGCAAGUCGAGCGAACGGACGAGAAGCUUGCUUCUCUGAUGUUAGCGGCGGACGGGUGAGUAACACGUGGAUAACCUACCUAUAAGACUGGGAUAACUUCGGGAAACCGGUGCUAAUACCGGAUGAUAUUUUGAACCGCAUGGUUCAAAAGUGAAAGACGGUCUUGCUGUCACUGAUAGAUGGAUUCGCGCUGCAUUAGCUAGUUGGUAAGGUAACGGCUUACCAAGGCAACGAUGCAUAGCCGACCUGAGAGGGGGGUCGGCCACACUGGAACUGAGACAAGGUCCAGACUCCUACGGGAGGCAGCAGUAGGGAAUCUUACGCAAUGGGCGAAAGCCUGCCGGUGCAACGACGCGUGGGGAGUGAAGGUCUUCGGAUCGUAAAACUCUGUUAUUAGGGAAGAACAUAUGUGUAAGUAACUGUGCGCAUCUUGACGGUACCUAAUCAGAAAGCCCCGGCUAACUACGUG